rfam:Schistosoma rodhaini strain Burundi genome assembly, scaffold: SROB_scaffold0006753
AUCCGGCUGACAAGUCCCAAAUAGGACGAAAUGCACGUCCUCGAU